GGAUGCGAUCAUACCAGCACUAAAGCACCGGAUCCCAUCAGAACUCUGAAGUUAAGCGUGCUUGGGCGAGAGUAGUACUAGGAUGGGUGACCUCCUGGGAAGUCCUCGUGUUGCAUUCCC
rnacentral:rRNA from 3 species